UCGGGAAUAUUGCGCAAUGGAGGAAACUCUGACGCAGUGACGCCGCGUGCAGGAAGAAGGUUUUCGGAUUGUAAACUGCUUUAGACAGGGAAGAAAAAGGACAGUACCUGUAGAAUAAGCUCCGGCUAACUACGUGCCAGCAGCCGCGGUAAUACGUAGGGAGCAAGCGUUAUCCGGAUUUAUUGGGUGUAAAGGGUGCGUAGACGGGAAAUUAAGUUAGCUGUGAAAUCCCUCGGCUUAACUGAGGAACUGCAACUAAAACUGAUUUUCUUGAGUGCUGGAGAGGAAAGUGGAAUUCCUAGUGUAGCGGUGAAAUGCGUAGAUAUUAGGAGGAACACCAGUGGCGAAGGCGACUUUCUGGACAGUAACUGACGUUGAGGCACGAAAGUGUGGGGAGCAAACA
rnacentral:rRNA from 1 species